UGCACACCGCCCGUCACACCAUGGAGCGGGUUUCACCAGAAGCCGGUCGCCGAACCCGCAAGGAAGGCGCCGACCACGGUGAGAUUCGUGACUGGGGUG
rnacentral:rRNA from 1 species